GUGGCAGCCGCCGCGGUAAAACCAGCACCUCAAGUGGUCAGGAUGAUUAUUGGGCCUAAAGCAUCCGUAGCCGGCUUUGUAAGUUUUCGGUUAAAUCCAUGUGCUCAACGCAUGGGCUGCCGAAAAUACUGCAUAGCUAGGGAGUGGGAGAGGUAGACGGUACUCAGUAGGUAGGGGUAAAAUCCUUUGAUCUAUUGAUGACCACCUGUGGCGAAGGCGGUCUACCAGAACACGUUCGACGGUGAGGGAUGAAAGCUGGGGGAGCAAACCGGAUUAGAUACCCGGGUAGUCCCAGCUGUAAACGAUGCAGACUAGAUGAUGCAUUGGCAUAAUAGCCAUUGCAGUGUCUCAGGGAAGCCGUUAAGUCUGCCGCCUGGGAAGUACGUACGCAAGUAUGAAGCUUAAAGGAAUUGGCGGGGGAGCACCACAAGGGGUGAAGCCUGCGGUUCAAUUGGAGUCAACGCCAGAAAUCUUACCCGGAGAGACAGCAGAAUGAAGGUCAAGCUGAAGACUUUACCAGACAAGCUGAGAGGUGGUGCAUGGCCGUCGCCAGCUCGUGCCGUGAGAUGUCCUGUUAAGUCAGGUAACGAGCGAGAUCCCUGCCGCUAGUUGCUAUCAUUAUUCUCAGGAAUAGUGGAGCGAAUUAGCGGGACUGCCGUUGUUAAAACGGAGGAAGGAAGGGGCUACGGCAGGUCAGUAUGCCCCGAAACUCUGGGGCCACACGCGGGCUGCAAUGGUAGUGACAAUGAGUUCCAAACUCGAAAGAGAGUGGCAAUCUCUAAACGCUACCACAGUUAUGACUGAGGGCUGUAACUCGCCCUCACGAAUAUGGAAUCCCUAGUAACCGCGUGUCAUUACCGCGCGGUGAAUACGUCCCUGCUCCUUGCACACACCGCCCGUC
rnacentral:rRNA from 1 species